UGUUGCAUGCCUGUGGCUCCCUCCUUCUCUGGAUAUUGUCUUUUAUGGUUUUUUGUGUUAAAGUUUUUCUUUGAAUCCAUAGGUUCCUGACUGUCUUUCAAGCAACAACAACAACAACAAAACAAAAAAAAAGGAAAGGAAAGGAAAGGAAAGGAAGGAAGGAAGGAAGGGUAAAAAAAGAAAAACAAAGCAAUCCCCCAAAAUCUUUAAAUAAUGACACCUCUACCUAGCUGGACAUUUUUUACCAGCAUCGUUGCUGAGAGGAUUGUCAUGGAGGGCUGGAAGACACAUUAUUUGAAGGAUAUACAAAAGUUGAAGAGGAAGAGGACGAGGGAUCAGUCUCCCAGUUUCAUGCCCCACCAUCAGCAACUCUCGCAUCCCCCCUGGGGGUCCCAUCCCAACAUUUGAGAACCACUGGUAUAAAGGAAAUGCUAUGAGAGCCAGCAUGGUUUAGUGGUUUGCAUGUUGGACUAUGACACCGGAGGCCAGAGAAGACAAUGCCAAACCUCCUCUGAACAAAUAUUGCCAAGGAAACGCUGUGAUAGGGUCACUGUAAGUUGGGAACUUCUUGAAGGUACAAAACAAUUACUUACCACACAGCAUCCAGCAGGUGGCACAAGACACCAUCUUCAUCUCCAAUAAGCAGUAGGGGACCUGACUUGCAAUAACCAUCAUUCAGUCCAGACAGCACCUUUACACCCUUCUUUUAUGUAGAGGGGUCUCUAGUUCUUCUUUCACACUGUCUGUGUAUCUUUCUUUCUCCUGCUUUCUUUUGAGGGAGGGAUUAUUUUCAGGAAAUUAGUCUUUUACUACAGCUUACUCUCUGUUGCACAAACUAUGUACCUAGUGAGCAUUAAUGUGAUUGAUGUCAUUAUUUUUCUUUCAGAAAUCUAGCAUGAUACACCCGUUCACCCUCCUUUCAGGGCCACCCCACUCCCAAUAUUUUCAUUACAGGUGAUUACAGGUAAGCCACUACCUGAUUACCUUCUGUGGACUGGAAAUAAUACAUGUACUUAACAAUUUCACUGAGUUGCUCUGAGAUCAGUGGUUCUCAACCUUCCUAAUGCCACAACCCUUUAAUACAGUUCCUCAUGCUGUGUUGACCCCCAACCAUAAAAUUAUUUUCAUUGCUACUUCAUAAAUGUAAUUUUGCUACUGUUUUCCAAUGGUCUUAAGUGACCCCUGUGAAAGGGUUGUUCGACCUCCAAAGUGGUUGUGAGUCGUGACCCACCGGUUAAGAAGUUUAUUCACUAGAAACAAGCUGAUGAUUAUGAAUGUUGUAAAACAUUGCUGAUUGAUAGUAACAUUGCUGUAGUAUUUUAGCCUUUACUUAAUGGUUCAGUUCUUUAGCCUCCUGGUUGCAUUGCACAGCCAUGUUCCACAGGUAUCAAUUCAAAGAUCUGUAGUAUGAAUAUAUUUCAAGGACUGGACACAAUGUUGCCUCUACGUUCUUAAUAAAUGCA